AUUGAACGCUGGCGGCAGGCUUAACACAUGCAAGUCGAGCGGGGUGAUGGUGCUUGCACUAUCACUUAGCGGCGGACGGGUGAGUAAUGCUUAGGAAUCUGCCUAUUAGUGGGGGACAACAUCUCGAAAGGGAUGCUAAUACCGCAUACGUCCUACGGGAGAAAGCAGGGGAUCACUUGUGACCUUGCGCUAAUAGAUGAGCCUAAGUCGGAUUAGCUAGUUGAUGGGGUAAAGGCCUACCAAGGCGACGAUCUGUAGCGGGUCUGAGAGGAUGAUCCGCCACACUGGGACUGAGACACGGCCCAGACUCCUACGGGAGGCAGCAGUGGGGAAUAUUGGACAAUGGGGGGAACCCUGAUCCAGCCAUGCCGCGUGUGUGAAGAAGGCCUUAUGGUUGUAAAGCACUUUAAGCGAGGAGGAGGCUUACCUAGUUAAUACCUGGGAUAAGUGGACGUUACUCGCAGAAUAAGCACCGGCUAACUCUGUGCCAGCCGCCGCAGUAA
rnacentral:rRNA from 1 species